GACUCACUCACCUGAGCUCGCACGCUGUGCCAUUUGAGAUGCACGGACUCGCUCCUCAAGAGAAGGAAACACAGCUCUUCUAAACAAACUCCGGAGACACUGAAGGCUUCAGUCCUGCACCAGGCCUGGGAGAGAGGCGUUUUCUCCCUGGAAACCGUUCACUGGAUUUAGAGCUCAGGAGCCCAGGCAUUGUAUCUUUGGAAGGCCACCAUGUUCCGCAGGAAAUGACUGCUUUUGGGGCCUGUGCCCUUUGAGGCUCAGCCACAGAGGACAGACCCAACACCUGGAACAAGCCAGGAGUGUGGGAGCAUGGCCUUCUCACCCCCAGAACCCAAUUAGAACAAAGCCAUUCUCCACAAGUGAGCAGCUACCAGCAGGAGUUUUCUGCCUGUGAGGGAGAUGGCCACCUUCCUGUGGAGGUUAAUGAAUCUGCAGAACUGUAAUGAAGAUUAGUUCUUCCUUCAGUAAGGCUGGGGUGCAGCAGUGGCCUGGAGAAGAUUCGGGCAGAACAAGAGAGGCAUAGACAGCUGGGCAUUAGUGGCUGCUCUGGCCACAGGGUUUGCAGGGGUGAGGAGGGGAUACCUCAGGCUUGCCCCUCCCACUUCCAGCCUGCUGCUUCUUACAGGGAUUGCUGUCAGCACUUCCAAGCUAAAAAAUCUAACUUCCUCAUCUAGCCCUUGAAGUCCUUGAUGUUUGUGUCUAGGACUGUCUACAGAAUCUGCAUCACAAUACUGAGUGUAAGUAGAUAUGUCCUGUCCUGACUGCCUGGUCCCAAAUAAACACACAGAGGCAUAUAUGGAUUAUAAAUGCUCGGUCAAUAGCUCAGGCUUAUUACUAACUAGCUCUUACAUUUAAGUUAACCCAUAUUCCUUAUUUACACUCUGCCACUUGGUGGUAUCGUUAUUAGCAUGGCAUGUUCAUCUCUUGCUCCCUCUGUGUCUGGCUGGCAACUCCUGACUCCACCCUUCUCCUUCCCAUCAUCCUUAGUUUGGUCACUCUGCCUAUACUUCCUUCCCGGUUACUGGCCAAUUAGCAUUUUAUUAAACCAAUUUGGGUGACAAAUCUUUACAGUGUACAAGAAGAAUAUUCCAUAGCAGUGAGAGAUCAGAACCAUGGGAACCAACAAUAGAUUGAUUUGAUAGAUUAUGUGACAGCCUCAUGACACACAGAAAUAUGCAGCCAUUAAAAGUAUUCACAGAAGUUGGACACAGUAGUGCAUACCUGUGAUUUCAGUACUCGGAUGUGGAACCCCGGAUCAGGAGUGUAAGGUCUCCUUAAGCUACAUAACCAGUUCAAGGGCAUGCUGGGCCACAUGAGACCUUAUCUCAAAAAGACUCCAAAACCAAACAUUAACGACAAAAUCCCAAGAAUGUUUUAUGGAACUGGCAUAAUUCAUGACUCUGGCAAAGGUAUGUGUAGAACUGCGUGUGGCCUGUCGGUUGCGUGGUGGAGCAGACUCCAAGUAGGAAGGAAACAGGCACAUCUGCCAGCAGGCUGAUGGAAUACCUCAGCUGCUUGCUCACUUCACCACCUCUGGGAAUGUCUGGAACUAUCUGGGACCUUCACUCUCCUGGUCUGCAACUCGGAGUUUUGUGCUACUGUCCAUCAUGGGCGCUGUCCAUCGUGAGGGACCUAAGAGCACUCAGAAGGACCUGGCCUGCUGUGAGCCACCCUAGGUGGAUAAGAAUACAGGACAGGGAUGUAGUGAGUCUUCCUAUGUAAGAACACGGGACAGAGAUCAGGGAUAUGGUGGAGCCUCCGGGAUAAUGGAUUUGAAUGAUUCUGUCCUUUUUUGAUUUUUCUGUGUUUCCCACGUUUUCUACACAGAACUUUCGUAACUUCUACAGCCGUACCAAGUGAGAAGUGUGCGGCAAUGAAAGGAUCCUGUCAUCCUCUGGUUGUCUUA